rnacentral:lncRNA from 1 species
AUAUAUAACAAAGAAAUGAAUUACAAGCAUAACUCUGUUCACAUUUACAUUUCAAGCUCCUUUGGAGACUGGACUUGUCUAUGAGCAGUAAGAAAAAAGAACGUGAAAGUUGCAGAAUAAGAAAUGCCCAUAAAGGUUUCCAUAGGUGCUCUAAAGCUCUAAUUCCUGAGUUCCAUUCUCACAGCCCUUGAACAAGUCAUGAAACGCUUUGACAACAAAUAUUCUUGAUGGCACUUUCGAUAUAUCAAAAAAUGCGACAACAAGAGUUCCAUUCUCAUUGCAUACGGAUCUUGAUUCAAAUAACAGAGCUUAAAAUGUUCGAUAGUAUUCCAGCCUUCACAGUAAAAAGCACAAAAGUUAAUAAAAUGAUAUAAUAUAAGAAUAAAAGAUAAUGAUCAGAAUUUGCAUACCCCAAACCUAAGGUUCUAGAUGAUGAUCGAGUAGUGCUGUCCAAACAAUAUGAGAUGCAAGGAUUCCUUGCGCGGCAAUAGUAGAGCAGGAGGGGGGAAUAGAG